GAUCCUUCCGACGAGUUAGGCGUGUUUUAGCCGGGUGUGGAAGUGAUUUUUUUUUUUUGGAAGAUGCGAAUUUAUUAGCUACACGUGGUGAUUGCAGCUGCUCCUCAUACUUCCGCUAAACCUGUAUGUUGUUGCACAGAAAUCUGUAUCUUCGCCUGGACGAGGUCCAGUUACAACCACUUUGCGAACGGCGUGUAUCUCCUAGGCACAUCACAUGCAGAAGGCCAGAAAUGACCGCUUCUUCCUCCCUCUAGACCUACUCCUACCCUGUGUUGUCGCCCCCAUCACCUAAUCAUUCUAACCUGGGCAUUAUCUUCUCUCCUCCUCUUAUCAUGUCUCAACAAUGGUUAACUUCUCAAUGUGUUCGAACUCCCGUCGUCACAGUGUCACAAUGUUCAAGCGAUCGUCAUUUCCCACGUGGAUGAUUCCUGCCUGGCAUUUGUGUGUGUGUCGUCCUGUGCGCCGCAUGGACCAUGACCUUAAUCAAAUUCUCAAAGGUAUCUGUGAUUAAAAAGGACCAGACUCAUUUUAGCCUGAGACACAUCGAGAUUGGGAACACAAGCAGGAAGAGUGGGAGAAGGAGAAGCAGGCCUCCCACUGAGCAGGAAGCCCCAUGGGGGGCUCCAUCCCAGGAUUCCAGAACCAUGACCCGACCAGAAGUCAGAUGCCCAAAGACUGAGCCACCCAUGUGCCACUGCAAUCUCUUUUUUAAAAAAUAUUUUACAUAGAUUUUCAUUGCUGUUAAUAUUUAUAGCUAAGGAAUUCUGUGGCAGGAAUGCACUAAAUUUUUUAAAUCAUUUCACUAUUGUAUGAGGUCAAGUGCUUUCCAAAUUUUCCCUAUUAAAUAAUAAAUGUAGACAUAGUUUAAAUUUUAAAAAUACAACCAAUGUUCUCCAUACAGGUUGCACAGUUUUGAACUACCAACGGUGUAUGAGAGCAUCCUAUUCCCUAAACCCUUGCUAACAAGAAAUGUUAAUAUUUUGCACUUUUGCCAA